rnacentral:lncRNA from 1 species
AGUGUUAAGGAGAGUUGCACUGAAAAGCUAAGUUGAAAUGUAAGGGGUUGUAAACAUUUUUUUCCAGGUAAAAAGGGUUAAAAGGCAUGGAAGGAGGAGAGACAAAGGCAAGGCGAUGGAAAUGGGAAAGUGUCAUGAUCCACUGGGGAAAUGGCAAGGAGUAGGUCUGAAGAGGUUGUUGCCCAGUUUGCCCUGUUCACUUGAGACCAUGGGUGUGAACUUUGUGAAGGGCCAUGCAUCUGACUUGGAGCAAU